AUGGUGUGCCUUUGGUUCCCCGCAGGCUCCUGGACAGUAAUACUGACAGUGAUACUGAUGGUGCUGAACCCACUCCUGGCUUGGGCUGGAGAGGUAAAUGCACAUUUCAUGAUGCAGGUAAAGUCCGAGUGUCAUUUCUCCAACAGCACGCGGCAGGUGCACUUCCUGGACAGGUACAUCUAUAACGGGGAGGAGCUGAUGCGCUUCCACAGCCACGUCGGGGAGGACCUGGCGGUGGGCGAGCUGGGGCGGCCGGCCGCGGAGCUCUGGAACCGCCAGAAGGAUGCCCUGCAGCGGGCGCGGGCCGCCGUGCACACCUUCUGCAGGAUCAACUGCAAGUUCUUGGAGAGCAGCACCGUGCGGCGGCGAGUGGAGCCUACAGUGACUGUGUAUCCUGCAAAGACCCAGCCCCGGUGGCACCACAGCCUCCUGGUCUGCUCUGUGAAUGGUUCCUAUCCAGGCCACACUGAAGUCAGGUGCUUCCAGAAUGGCCAGGAAGAGGAAGCGGGGGGUGGUCUCCACAGGCCUGAUCCCUAAUGGAGACUGGACCUUCCAGACCAUGGUGAUGCUUGAAAUAGUUCCUCAGAGUGGAGAGGUCUACACCUGCCACGUGGAGCACACCAGCUGGAUGAGCCCUGUCACAGUGGAAUGGAGGACAUGGUAUGAACCUUCACGAGGCAAGAUGCUGAGUAGAAUUGGGGCCUGUGUUAUGGGUCUGCUCUUCCUUGGGGUGGGGCUGCGCUUAGUCAGGAAUUAA